UACGGAGGGUGCAAGCGUUAUCCGGAUUCACUGGGUUUAAAGGGUGCGUAGGUGGGCAGGUAAGUCAGUGGUGAAAUCUCUGGGCUUAACUCAGAAACUGCCAUUGAUACUAUCUGUCUUGAAUACCGUGGGGGUCAGCGGAAUAUGUCAUGUAGCGGUGAAAUGCUUAGAUAUGACAUAGAACACCAAUUGCGAAGGCAGCUGGCUACACGAAUAUUGACACUGAUGCACGAAAGCGUGGGGAUCAAACAGG
rnacentral:rRNA from 1 species